GGAAGUCGUACCGGUACCCGUAAAUUUUUAUGGGUAACCCUAGAGUUUUAACGAGGCCCCCGGAAUGUCGCUCGUGGGACCCGCAAAGGACGGGUGAGUAACACGUGGGCAACCUGCCUGUAAGAUCGGGAUAACUCCGGGAAACCGGGGCUAAUACCGGGUAAUACUUUCUUUCGCAUGAAGGAAAGUUGAAAGAUGGCUUCUCGCUAUCACUUACAGAUGGGCCCGCGGCGCAUUAGCUAGUUGGUGAGGUAACGGCUCACCAAGGCGACGAUGCGUAGCCGACCUGAGAGGGUGAUCGGCCACACUGGGACUGAGACACGGCCCAGACUCCUACGGGAGGCAGCAGUAGGGAAUCUUCCGCAGUGGACGAAAGUCUGACGGAGCAACGCCGCGUGAACGAUGAAGGUCUUCGGAUCGUAAAGUUCUGUUGUUAGGGAAGAACAAGUACCGUGCGAAUAGAGCGGUACCUUGACGGUACCUAACGAGGAAGCCCCGGCUAACUACGUGCCAGCAGCCGCGGUAAUACGUAGGGGGCAAGCGUUGUCCGGAAUUAUUGGGCGUAA
rnacentral:rRNA from 1 species